CUCAGUGGUGUCUGCACCAUGGCCUGGAUUCCUCUCCUCUUCUUCCUCCUUCAUUGUACAGGGUCUUUCUGCCAGCCUGUGCUGACUCAGUCAUCCACAGUCUCUGCCUCACUGGGAGCCCCAGUCAAACUGACCUGCACCUUGAGUAGUGAUCACAGCACCUAUGGUAUUGCAUGGUACCAGCAACAGCCAGACAGGGCUCCUAAGUAUCUGAUGUAUGUUUACAGUAAUGGAAACCAUGGCAAAGCAGAUGGGAUCCCUGAUCGCUUCUCUGGCUCUAGCUCUGGAGCUCACCGCUACUUAAGCAUCUCCAACAUUCAGCCUGAAGAUGAAGAACCUUCAUCUGGUGAUGGAUGGAGAUAGAGACAGAGACCCACACUGGAGCACUGGA